rnacentral:tRNA from 2 species
GGGCCGUUAGCUCAGUUGGUAGAGCAACUGACUUUUAAUCAGUAGGUCGCAGGUUCGAAUCCUGCACGGCUCA